rnacentral:rRNA from 1 species
UACGUAGGGUGCGAGCGUUAAUCGGAAUUACUGGGCGUAAAGCGUGCGCAGGCGGUUUGUUAAGCCAGAUGUGAAAGCCCCGGGCUCAACCUGGGAACUGCGUUUGGUACUGGCAAGCUAGAGUACGGCAGAGGGGGGUGGAAUUCCACGUGUAGCAGUGAAAUGCGUAGAGAUGUGGAGGAACACCGAUGGCGAAGGCAGCCCCCUGGGCCGAUACUGACGCUCAUGCACGAAAGCGUGGGGAGCAAACGGG